AUGGCCACGGACAUAACAAUUGGGGAUGGUUCCAAGGCGAGUUUUUGGCAUGACCGGUGGCUUGCCGGACAAUGUCCCAAGACCAUCGCUCCGUCUUUGUUCAAGAUUGCAUCCCGCAAGAACCGAACCGUUGAGGCGGCGCUGGCCGGCGACAGUUGGCUUCUCGACCUCGCGCACGGGCUGUCCGACGACUUGCUCCCGGAGUUGAACCGGCUCGCAACCAUGCUUGACGACGUGGUACUGCGUGUCGGCCAUCCAGACACAAUUACAUGGCGUUUCACUCCCGAGAAGGAGUACACGGCCCGUUCGGCCUACCUUCUGCAGUUUGAGGGCUCUAUUCCCAUGGACAACUACAAC
rnacentral:rRNA from 1 species